UACGUAGGGCGCAAGCGUUGUCCGGAAUUACUGGGCGUAAAGCGUGCGUAGGCGGUCUCUUAAGUCCGUUGUGAAAGCCCUGGGCCCAACCUGGGAACUGCAGUGGAUACUGAGAAGCUAGAGUGUGUCAGAGGAUGGUGGAAUUCCCGGUGUAGCGGUGAAAUGCGUAGAGAUCGGGAGGAACAUCAGUGGCGAAGGCGGCCAUCUGGGACAACACUGACGCUGAGGCACGAAAGCGUGGGGAGCAAACAGG
rnacentral:rRNA from 1 species